ACACAUGCAAGUCGUAACAAGGUAACCGUAAGAAUGCUUCUCGCUGACGAGCGGCUGACGGGUGAGUAAUACUUAGGAAUCUACCUAGUAGUGGGGGAUAGCUCGGGGAAACUCGAAUUAAUACCGCAUACGACCUACGGGAGAAAGGGGGCAACUUGUUGCUCUCGCUAUUAGAUGAGCCUAAGUCGGAUUAGCUAGAUGGUGGGGUAAAGGCCUACCAUGGCGACGAUCUGUAGCUGGUCUGAGAGGAUGAUCAGCCACACCGGGACUCGAGACACCGGUCUCUGACUCUCCUUACGGGAGGCCAGCCAUGUGGGGAAAUAUUGGACCACGGACGGCCAACCCUGAUCCAGCCAUGCCGAGAUGUGUGAGAUAUGGCCUUUUUGGUCUUAAAGCAACUUUAAGCCAGUGAAGAAGACUCCAUUGGUUAAUACCCCAUAGACGAUGACAUUAGCUGCAGAAUACGCACCGGCUAACUCUGUGCCAGCAGCCGCGGUAAUACAGAGGGGUGCAAGCGUUAAUCGGAAUUACUGGGCGUAAAGCGAGCGUAGGUGGCUUGAUAAGUCAGAUGUGAAAGCCCCGGGCUUAACCUGGGAACGGCAUCUGAUACUGUUAGGCUAGAGUAGGUGAGAGGAAGGUAGAAUUCCAGGUGUAGCGGUGAAAUGCGUAGAGAUCUGGAGGAAUACCGAUGGCGAAGGCAGCCUUCUGGCAUCAUACUGACACUGAGGUUCGAAAGCGUGGGUAGCAAACAGGAUUAGAUACCCUGGUAGUCCACGCCGUAAACGAUGUCUACUAGUCGUUGGGUCCCUUGAGGACUUAGUGACGCAGCUAACGCAAUAAGUAGACCGCCUGGGGAGUACGGCCGCAAGGUUAAAACUCAAAUGAAUUGACGGGGGCCCGCACAAGCGGUGGGAGCAUGUGGUUUAAUUCGAUGCAACGCGAAGAACCAUUACCUGGUCUUGACAUAUCUAGAAAUCCUGCAGAGAUGCGGGAGUGCCUUCGGGAAUUAGAAUACAGGUGCUGCAUGGCUGUCGUCAGCUCGUGUCGUGAGAUGUUGGGUUAAGUUCCGCCAACCAACCCCACCCCUGGUCCUUAGUUUACUAGCGAUUUGGAGCGGGAAGUCGUAGGGGAUACAUGCCCAGUGACAAACUUGGAGGAAGGCGGGGACGACGUCAAGGUCAUCAUGGGCCCUUACGAUCCAGGGCUACACACGUGCUACAAUGGUAGGUACAGAGGGCAGCUACACAGCGAUGUGAUGCGAAUCUCAAAAAGCCUAUCGUAGUCCAGAUUGGAGUCUGCAACUCGACUCCAUGAAGUAGGAAUCGCUAGUAAUCGCGGAUCAGAAUGCCGCGGUGAAUACGUUCCCGGGCCUUGUACACACCGCCCGUCACACCAUGGGAGUUGAUUGCACCAGAAGU
rnacentral:rRNA from 1 species